GUAGGUGAACCUGCGGAAGGAUCAUUACCGAGAUAAUUCUUUUCUUCGGAUGAGAAUCUCCCACCCAAUGUGUUACCAAUUUUAUUGAUACUUUGGUGAAGCGUUUGCUUUUACGAGUGAACCAUCGACUUGAAAGAGUGGAUGAGUCUUUGCCAAAGGAACCCCUUAACUCUUUUUAUUUAAUAAUUGUCUGAGUUUAUAUUUUAAAUAAACAAAACUUUCAACAACGGAUCUCUUGGUUCUGGCAUCG
rnacentral:misc_RNA from 1 species